AGGUUUCCAUUUAUGGGAAGGAGAGCCAUACCCAAUCUGAUGAUGGGAUGCCUCACUACUUCAAUAUGGGCCCUACUACUCUCAGCUAUCGGAUUUGGCUGCAUAGCUACACUGAUCUCUGCAGAGAGUAAUGUAACACAAAUGAACGAGCCACAUCAGUGGAGCCCGGAAAACAG